rnacentral:misc_RNA from 1 species
AUAAUGCCCAAGCUACUCUCCUGAAAUAGACCACCAUUUCUCCCAGAACUUCUUUGGAUUUCACUUCUAUUUUGACCAUCACAAACAUGUUUAAUAGAAUUUUUAAAUCCUUCUUGCAACCUUUAUGACCAGAGCAUUACAUCAAUUGAAAUAGAGCCCUACUAUCCUCUUCAGGUAGUAGCCUUUUCACAUUGCAAUCGGAGCAUUUCAACACUUGCAGACCCAUUUCUUCAACGAACCAAAAGAAUCCGUCAACACCUUUCUCAUCCUAUAUAUAAUUUCACGCCAGAGUCUCUCCCCAGUUCGGAUCCGUCUUCAAGCGGUG